AGCAUGACUGUAUGCUCCAUAAUGGCGAACAAUGCUCUAAGGUUCCCCCGUUUCCAAAUCCUGAAACCUAUGAUAAUCUGAAUGAUACCACGGUAUCUUCUUCGUCUGCCUAAAUUUGUAUAUAUUCAUGUAGAUUUAGUUACAAUAUUCGUCAGUUUCAAUCACUAAUAUUUACAAGAUUCCAUAUCUAGUCAAAGACGAAAUUAAUCAGAUAGUUCUUCAUACACAAUUAUACUUAGUAUGAUUAUAACCAAGUAUGCGUGGUACCAGAACCAUUUUGGAAAAACUAUAUAAAUUAUGCUACCUCGGCAAGUUUUGCCACUGGAAAAAGACAAAGAAACUGAAAAAUAUACUCAAUACAAAAAAAUCAGGAUUUAAACAAAAAGCCAUGUAACUGUACCAAACUUGCAAGUUUAAUUUAAGGUACAUGUAGUUGUGCUGCAAUUUACAUAAACAAGCAGUGAUUAGCUAAGGACUACUGUGGAAUCAUUAGAUUUCGUGGUGGCUCAAUUUUCGUGGAAUUCGUAGGUACCUCUCAUCCACGAAAUUACAUCCUCCACGAAUUGAUAAAUUAGGGUAAUAAAGGCAUGUUUCCUUUUAAAAUUUAAGCCAUCCACGAAAAUUGUCCCCCACGAAAUUAAUUGAUUCCACAGUAAUUAAUAUUUUAUUGUAAGGUACAUGUAGAUCAUGUCCUCUUUCAUCAUUUUCAUCAUCAUCAUCUGACAUGUAAUUAUCAUCAUUAUAAUCAUCAUGUCUUUCAUUUUCAUCAUCUUCAUCCUCCUCCUCCUCCUCCUCCUCCUCCUCAUCAUCAUCAUUUAGCGGAAAAUAUAAAGGUUCCUGUACACUACCGAUCGACCUAAAUGAUUCUUGUUUCUUCACGGGUAAGAAAAGCUAUGAUCUAUUUAAAAAAGGUCAUGACCGUAACUUCAACCUUGACCUUUAUAUAAUCAAGGAUAUAAAUCCCAUGCCUUAUACAGUUUUAUUGCGUCGAACUUUACAAAGAAGUCUAUAGAACGGGAUGAUUUAACUAAGAUCCGACCGCCGUAUCUGUCUACAGAGAGGGGACCACUUGCCGGUUUUAGUCUUACUCAAGUGCAAUAUAAGUGCCAAAUAAAUUCAUUACC
rnacentral:misc_RNA from 1 species